rnacentral:rRNA from 1 species
GAUGAACGCUGACAGAAUGCUUAACACACGCAAGUCUACUUGAUUCUACUUCGGUAGUUGAUGGUGGCGGACGGGUGAGUAACGCGUAAAGAAUCUGCCCUUUAGUUUGGGAUAACCUUUGGAAACGAAGGCUAAUACCGGAUAUUAUGGAGACGUCGCAUGGCGACUCCAUGAAAGCUAUAUGCGCUAGAGGAGGACUUUGCGUCCCAUUAGUUAGUUGGUGAGGUAAUGGCUCACCAAGACCGCGAUGGGUAGCCGGCCUGAGAGGGUGAUCGGCCACAAGGGAACUGAGACAUGGUCCUUACUCCUACGGGAGGCAGCAGUGGGGAAUAUUGGACAAUGGGCCACAAGCCUGAUCCAGCAAUUCUGUGUGCACGAUGAAGGUCUUCGGAUUGUAAAGUGCUUUCAGUAGGGAAGAAAAAAAUGACGGUACCUACAGAAGAAGCGACGGCUAAAUAUGUGCCAGCAGCCGCGGUAA